UUUAAUCUCUCAAAAAUUAAAAAAAAAGUUAAGUUAAAAUACAUUUUAAAUACAAAAAACUUAAACAAUGAAUAAUUUAUUUAUUUUUUUUCAAAAUUUAAAUAUCUGAACCCGACCCAAAAUAUCUGAACCCGAACAUAAAAUACCCGAACCCGACUCGAAGUGUAGAAAUACCCGAACGGGUUCUAUACCUUUAUACUGAAAUAUCCGAUACAAACCCGAACGUGUUUUUUGAACGCCAACCCCUAUGAUAUAUGAUCAUUUGUAUCUUGCUUGAACAAAAAAAGUUAAACCAUUGAUCACAAAUUUUUUAAUGUGGGACUUUUACCAUUUUUAGUAAUUUAUAAUUGUUUUU
rnacentral:lncRNA from 1 species